rnacentral:rRNA from 1 species
UACGAAGGGUGCAAACGUUGCUCGGAAUCAUUGGGCGUAAAGCGCACGUAGGCGGCUUCGCAAGUCGGAUGUGAAAUCCCUCGGCUCAACCGAGGACGUGCAUACGAAACUGCGGAGCUUGAGUGCUGAAGAGGAUCGCGGAAUUCCCGGUGUAGAGGUGAAAUGCGUAGAUAUCCGGAGGAACACCAGUGGCGAAAGCGGCCACCUGGACUGUACCUGACGCUCAAACGCGAAAGCUAGGGGAGCGAACGGG